UACGAAGGGGGCUAGCGUUGCUCGGAAUCACUGGGCGUAAAGGGUGCGUAGGCGGGUUUUUAAGUCAGGGGUGAAAUCCUGGAGCUCAACUCCAGAACUGCCUUUGAUACUGAAGAUCUUGAGUUCCGGGAGAGGUGAGUGGAACUGCGAGUGUAGAGGUGAAAUUCGUAGAUAUUCGCAAGAACACCAGUGGCGAAGGCGGCUCACUGGCCCGAUACUGACGCUGAGGCACGAAAGCGUGGGGAGCAAACAGG
rnacentral:rRNA from 1 species